GAGGGGAAGGAGCGCGGCCCUUCAAGGGAGCCCUUCAGCCUUCCGCGGGCCGCGAGACCCGGCAAGCAAUGUCUGGAAAAUAUGUCCUGUGGAAAGUGGCCGAGGGAGCUGGGUUUGUUUAGCCCCGAUGAGGCUCCGGGUGGACCUCAUCACUCUCUACAACUGCCUGAAAGGGGGCUGUAGUUGGCUGGGGCCGGUCUCUUCGCUGUGCUCGGAGUGAGGGGACCAGAGGAAAUGGCUUUAAGCUGAGACGGCGGCUGUUCGGGGUCGUCAGGCAAUGGAAUAGGUUGCCCAGGCCGGUGGUGGCGGGACUACCUCUGGUGGUGUAUAAGAGGAACAGGCGUCUGGAUGUGGUGCUGGUUCAUGUGGUUUAGAGGUUUAGGGGUGAUUCUGAUGGUGCUGGAUUGACGGUUCGACUGGAUGCUAUUAAAGACCUCUUCCAACCUCGCUGAUUUCACGAUCCCAUGCCUCUAUGAUUCUCCGACUCCGUGACUGCCUUCUAUGAUUCCAUUCUCCACCUCGCGGCGCGGGGCGGGACCCAGCGCGGCUGUCACGGAAAGGGAGGGAAGGGCCGCGGGCGCCCCGCCCGUCAGCUGUGGCUGCCCGGGCCCCGAUUGGCGCCGCGCGGCGCAGCCCGGCCCCCGCUAUAAGGCGGAGGCGCGGGCGGGGAAGGAGCUGCCGCGGCCGCGGCGAGGCUGGGGAAGAGCGAGAAGGAAGACUUGCCAGACAAGAUCCAAAACCGGUGUGACCUUUGCCUUUGUAAUAAGGUGACUCAGAAAUUCUGUGCAUAGAGGACUCCUAGCCAGAGAUGCUUGGUGCAGCUAAUUAGCCACAGAAAAGCCCUGUUCUGCUAUUCCUCAUCAAAACUACAGGAAGGGUUGGGAAAAGACGAUUUGCAUUGAAGCCUUCUACUAAACAGCUCCCUGAUUCUAAAAUAGCCUCUGGCCAAGCCCCAGCUUGUGCAAGGGUGCUGGCUCUCAUGUCCCUGAGUGGGAAGAGGAUAUGCCUGAAGGAAGGAUGCCUACACUUUUUCAUUGAGAGCUGAGACUGCAGCAGUGGUGGUGAGGAGCCUUUCCUGGAUAAGUGUAUGUGACCCCCAACAAACUGGCAGCCAGAAGAUCCUCCUGUUACCCCACUGCCAGUCAGUGGGUACAGGUCCAGAGAAAGGCACAUGUGUGCUUCGAGCUGGCCUCAGCUCUAAGGACUGCAUCUUUUGUACCUGAAAUGGCAGCACUGAGCCCUAACGUGAUUUUUACAGUAGUACAGAG